CCUACGGGGGGCUGCAGUGGGGAAUAUUGGACAAUGGGGGGAACCCUGAUCCAGCCAUGCCGCGUGUGUGAAGAAGGCCCUCGGGUUGUAAAGCACUUUCAGUGAGGAAGAACGCGUGGUGGUUAAUACCCAUCAGGAAAGACAUCACUCACAGAAGAAGCACCGGCUAACUCCGUGCCAGCAGCCGCGGUAAUACGGAGGGUGCGAGCGUUAAUCGGAAUUACUGGGCGUAAAGCGCGCGUAGGUGGCUUGAUAAGCCGGUUGUGAAAGCCCCGGGCUCAACCUGGGAACGGCAUCCGGAACUGUCAAGCUAGAGUGCAGGAGAGGAAGGUAGAAUUCCCGGUGUAGCGGUGAAAUGCGUAGAGAUCGGGAGGAAUACCAGUGGCGAAGGCGGCCUUCUGGACUGACACUGACACUGAGGUGCGAAAGCGUGGGUAGCAAACAGGAUUAGAUACCCCGGUAGUC
rnacentral:rRNA from 1 species